GGGUUCCUGUCCAACGUUAAUCGGGGCAGGGUGAGUCGACCCCUAAGGCGAGGCCGAAAGGCGUAGUCGAUGGGAAACGGGUUAAUAUUCCCGUACUUGGUGUUACUGCGAAGGGGGGACGGAGAAGGCUAUGUUGGCCGGGCGACGGUUGUCCCGGUUUAAGCGUGUAGGUAUGUGUUCCAGGUAAAUCCGGUUCACUUUAACACUGAGGCGUGACGACGAGGCACUACGGUGCUGAAGCAACAAAUGCCCUGCUUCCAGGAAAAGCCUCUAAGCAUCAGGUAACAUCAAAUCGUACCCCAAACCGACACAGGUGGUCAGGUAGAGAAUACCAAGGCGCUUGAGAGAACUCGGGUGAAGGAACUAGGCAAAAUGGUGCCGUAACUUCGGGAGAAGGCACGCUGACACGUAGGUGAAGUGAUUUACUCACGGAGCUGAAGUCAGCCGAAGAUACCAGCUGGCUGCAACUGUUUAUUAAAAACACAGCACUGUGCAAACACGAAAGUGGACGUAUACGGUGUGACGCCUGCCCGGUGCCGGAAGGUUAAUUGAUGGGGUCAGCGCAAGCGAAGCUCCUGAUCGAAGCCCCGGUAAACGGCGGCCGUAACUAUAACGGUCCUAAGGUAGCGAAAUUCCUUGUCGGGUAAGUUCCGACCUGCACGAAUGGCGUAAUGAUGGCCAGGCUGUCUCCACCCGAGACUCAGUGAAAUUGAACUCGCUGUGAAGAUGCAGUGUACCCGCGGCAAGACGGAAAGACCCCGUGAACCUUUACUAUAGCUUGACACUGAACAUUGAGCCUUGAUGUGUAGGAUAGGUGGGAGGCUUUGAAGUGUGGACGCCAGUCUGCAUGGAGCCGACCUUGAAAUACCACCCUUUAAUGUUUGAUGUUCUAACGUGGACCCGUGAUCCGGGUUGCGGACAGUGUCUGGUGGGUAGUUUGACUGGGGCGGUCUCCUCCUAAAGAGUAACGGAGGAGCACGAAGGUUGGCUAAUCCUGGUCGGACAUCAGGAGGUUAGUGCAAUGGCAUAAGCCAGCUUGACUGCGAGCGUGACGGCGCGAGCAGGUGCGAAAGCAGGUCAUAGUGAUCCGGUGGUUCUGAAUGGAAGGGCCAUCGCUCAACGGAUAAAAGGUACUCCGGGGAUAACAGGCUGAUACCGCCCAAGAGUUCAUAUCGACGGCGGUGUUUGGCACCUCGAUGUCGGCUCAUCACAUCCUGGGGCUGAAGUAGGUCCCAAGGGUAUGGCUGUUCGCCAUUUAAAGUGGUACGCGAGCUGGGUUUAGAACGUCGUGAGACAGUUCGGUCCCUAUCUGCCGUGGGCGCUGGAGAACUGAGGGGGGCUGCUCCUAGUACGAGAGGACCGGAGUGGACGCAUCACUGGUGUUCGGGUUGUCAUGCCAAUGGCACUGCCCGGUAGCUAAAUGCGGAAGAGAUAAGUGCUGAAAGCAUCUAAGCACGAAACUUGCCCCGAGAUGAGUUCUCCCUGAGACUUUAGGUCUCCUGAAGGAACGUUGAAGACGACGACGUUGAUAGGCCGGGUGUGUAAGCGCAGCGAUGCGUUGAGCUAACCGGUACUAAUGAACCGUGAGGCUUAACCUU
rnacentral:rRNA from 1 species